GAAUAAAAAAAAAAAGCUUUUCUUUUCUCUCUUCAACUUCUCUCUUUCUCUGUCACACUCCUUUUCUCCUCUCACAUUCUCCUCUGAUCUCCUCUGCAAUUCACGCUUGCGUUGGGUCUCUUCGACUUCUUCUUCUCUCACGUUCUUCCUCUGAUCUCCUCUGCAAUUCAUGCAUGCCAUUGCCAUCGAUUGACACAGCCAGCACCGCUGAUCGCCUCCAUCGAACCCGCAGAUUGAUCCCCGGCAUCGAUAUGGGCAUAGCUUGCAUGUAUACUACGAAGAGUGGUGCAAAGCGGAUGCUGGUCAGCCAUUUUUCUACUGGUUGGAUGUAGAGGAAGGCAAAUACCUCGAUCUCCAACACUGCCCAAGACCAAAGCUGCGACAACAAAGCAUCAAGUAUCUUGGACCUGGUGAACCUUCUUCUUCUUCUUAUAAGCUUGCUGUUUCUUUCAUCCAAAAUUGUGCAGAAAAGCUUGAGUCCUAUGCUUGUGGGUUUCAAGCCCAUAAACGUGUGGGUAGUUUGUUGAUGACGACAACAAGUGCUACUUGGAGAUCAAUUACACAUUUGAUAUCCGUAAGGAUUGGUAGUUGGUUAGACUGGGAAGUCUCCCUUCAGUGUUUCUGUUUUUGUUACCUGUUAAUUGUUUUAUAAGCAUAAAUCUGCUUUAGUGUUGACAUGUCUCAUUUCUAGUAUCGUAUCUAUUUUCAAUCCUUUCCGAGAUCAGCACCUAAACAAUGAAGAGGGGAUUUUUAUAAGCAUACAAUUUGAUUUGUUUGUUUUCUUUUUUCUUCUUUCUUCUUUCUUCUUAUGCGUAACAAUGUGUUGUUCAUAUAAGUUGAAUUGUUUGUUUGUUGUUUUUAGCAAAUAGUGGUUGGUUUAUUGCUUUUCCACUGUUUUGUUUCCAACUCUUGGUGUGCUUGACGUUUAAUGCAUCAACAAGAUCAAUAUUUUCUUUGCCUUGUAUUAUAGUGAUAGCAAAUUCAUAAAUGUUCUUAAUCAUUUUUUACCUUGGCAUUCACUUAUGGUUUUUCUAUUUGCAGCAAAAUAUGAUGUUUCGAUAUCAACGGCAUGUGCUGGACUUGAUUAUAUUGUAGUGGAAACAACCAGUGUAGCCCAAAGAUGUGUUGAGCUACUCUGGAGGGAGAAUCUUGGUGUUGCAACUUUCAUGAUAUUGGAUUCUUUGGAGCUCUUGGAUUGAAGCUUGGACAAAGCUGUGCGCAUGAUUUUGAUUUCUCCGGUUUAUAUCACUUAAGUUUAGAAUUACCAAAAUAUAAAUUGUUCAUAUACAAUCGAAUCUACCAGCUUGUUGAGAUGGUAAAAAGCGACAUUCUGCAAACUAAAGAAAAUAUUUACAUAUUGUGCGACCUAUUUGAUUUACUCACUCUAGGUUCAUGUUGCAAAAUUUUGUUCUUAACAUUAUGGAUAU